CUUAGUAUAUCACUCACACUCGUGUUUCACUCAAGUGUAUGAAAACACUCUAAUGAUCUCACCAAUCACUUCUCAAGUCACUAGAUUGCUUUUCUUGAAGAAAUUCAAUCAAACUUGAACCAAAUUAUACCCAAGUGUGGCGGCUGAAGGCUGUGAUUUUUUGAAGGUUGUUUGACUAAUUCUAAGACACAAAGGAAAUGUAUAAUAUGCUGGAAAAAAAAACUCUAAGCUGUCCGCCUAAAAGAAAAGAAACCACAAAAACAAGAAAAAAAGAAAGUUUGGUUGUGACUAGUAGCUAAAUUGAGGAGUUAACUACCAAGUGGAAUCCAAAACUGAUUAGGACUCUUGGGCCUCGUAAACCACGUUUUUAUUGGCUGGAAAUGCUAUAAAAUAGGCACAAAGGUCGGCUGGGUAGUUGGCACAAACCACAAUCAAGAAACAAAAGCAAGAGACGGCUACAAAGUAGGAAACCCUAUCUUAUCUUCCCACCUUUUGUGGCUAUUUAAUAGCAAGGUUUCUUGGUUGUUUUUGGGUGUUAAUGGCUGCUGGUUUUCUGGUAUUUCGUGGACAAAGAGAUGCGGCCAAUAGUGCAAGAUUGAAGGCAACAAGGUUUGUUCUUUCAACCCAAGUUCGGCUAGGCUACCCAAGCAAACUAU
rnacentral:lncRNA from 1 species